rnacentral:rRNA from 1 species
AAAGGAAUAGACGGGGACCCGCACAAGCAGCGGAGCAUGUGGUUUAAUUCGAAGCAACGCGAAGAACCUUACCAAGGCUUGACAUAUACAGGAAUAUGGUAGAGAUAUCAUAGCUCUUCGGAGCCUGUAUACAGGUGGUGCAUGGUUGUCGUCAGCUCGUGUCGUGAGAUGUUGGGUUAAGUCCCGUAACGAGCGCAACCCCUAUCUUUAGUUACUAGCGAGUAAUGUCGAGGACUCUAGAGAGACUGCCGGUGAUAAACCGGAGGAAGGUGGGGAUGACGUCAAAUCAUCAUGCCCUAUAUGUCUUGGGCUACACACGUGCUACAAUGGUCUGAACAAAGCGCAGCUAACUCGUGAGAGUACGCGAAUCGCAUAAAACAGAUCUCAGUUCGGAUUGCAGGCUGCAACUCGCCUGCAUGAAGUCGGAGUUGCUAGUAAUCGUGGAUCAGAACGCCACGGUGAAUGCGUUCCCGGGUCUUGUACACACCGCCCGU